GCGGAGGCUUUACUGAAGGAAGAACAGGGACAGGGUUUGUCUGGUAUGAUUAGGGACUAGGAUGGUGUACGUGGAACAACUCCUGGUAAGACCAGGGUUGAAGUGAGAAGUGGAAUUGACACAGAGAGCAGGGGCCCGCCCUAUCCAAGAGGCAGCAGAAUGCGGGGACUGACAGCAAACAAGAACACAUCAGUGGAGUAGAAAAGGAAAGUGUAGAAGAGAGGAAAAACAACGUGGAAGUGUUCUGAUGGGACGGAAGAAGAUCGGGCCAAGGAAAGAAGAAUGUUGUGAAGAUGCAAGCAGCCAAUUUGUGCUCCAUAAAAAGUAAAAUUGUAAGCUGCUAUAUGAAGGGAUCCACAAGACGAAUAAUUAAGGGGGACCUCUGAUCAACAGCCAGCAAGGAACUGAAUCCCUCAGACCCACAACUCACAAGAAACUGAAGCUGAAGCAGAUUCUUCCUCAGUCAAGCUUCAGGGGAGUUUCUGAUAUAGCCUGAGAAUGAUGAAGAUGCUGGAAAACCGGCCCCGUCACACACCAAUGAAGCACGAAUAGCUGUGCCCAUCUCUCAGACAACUGGCUGAUGUCGGCAGCAGGAACUGAACUGAACAAACAGGGAGGAGAGUGACUUUGCUUCUCAUCAAAGGUUACAGAAUGAAGCCUGCAGCUCAGCUUUCCAUGAAGUCAUCUUUAUGGAUUUGGGGUUCUGUGGAACUGAUUAGUAGCUUUAAAUCCCCACUUGGCUUUGUCUUUGUAAGAAGAAAAUACCUAAUUGUGUCUCAGAUUCACAUUAACUUGGUCCAUAUCUAAUUGGAAAAAAUUUUUUGUUAUUCCACAGAAUCAUUGACUGUAAUAAUCCAUAGAUUCACCACAUCUAGGCUAUUAAAACCCACUCUACCAAACUCGGACAGCAUGACAAUUGUAGUUGAUUAAUACUGUGGUGCCAUUCUGAAUAAGCUUCCAAUCUUGUCCUAGUCAAAUUCAUUGCUUGCUACAUGGCUUUCCCGGUUAAUUCUGAAUUCAGCAAAGAGCUCCAAUGGGCUGAUGUUGAGCAGAGGUCAGCGGCUGCCAGAACUGUCAUACUUACUACUGUCUCCAUGAGCCAGACUGGAAAGGUACACAGAGCUGAGAGCUCAGGUAUACCCUGAUCCCACUAUCAGAUCUAACUGGGCUCCCACCAUCACCACCCUAUUGCAGAAAGAAAUCAUGAGUGACCACUCAGCUCAAGGCUUCUCUGCUGAUGCCAUCCAGUGAGUUUCCUGGCAGCCAUCUUUUUAUGAAAGAAUAGAGGUCAGCCUGACUGCACUUCCAGAUGAUUAGAGGUGAAUCCGCAGGAAAUUUAUGGUAGACGGUUAAUGGGAGGUGUUGAUUGUGUGUGUGUGUGAGAACACAGGUUGUAAAUUCUGGCUUUUCUUGCCUGCAGUUGGCUGUAACAGUGUAAUUACAUUAAACCAGUUCCUGGAACCA
rnacentral:lncRNA from 1 species